AGUGAACGCUGGCGGUAGGCCUAACACAUGCAAGUCGAACGGCAGCACAGUAAGAGCUUGCUCUUACGGGUGGCGAGUGGCGGACGGGUGAGGAAUACAUCGGAAUCUACUUUUUCGUGGGGGAUAACGUAGGGAAACUUACACUAAUACCACAUACGACCUACGGGUGAAAGCAGGGGAUCUUCGGACCUUGCGCGAUUGAAUGAGCCGAUGUCGGAUUAGCUAGUUGGCGGGGUAAAGGCCCACCAAGGCGACGAUCCGUAGCUGGUCUGAGAGGAUGAUCAGCCACACUGGAACUGAGACACGGUCCAGACUCCUACGGGAGGCAGCAGUGGGGAAUAUUGGACAAUGGGCGCAAGCCUGAUCCAGCCAUACCGCGUGGGUGAAGAAGGCCUUCGGGUUGUAAAGCCCUUUUGUUGGGAAAGAAAAGCAGCAGGUUAAUACCCCGCUGUUCUGACGGUACCCAAAGAAUAAGCACCGGCUAACUUCGUG
rnacentral:rRNA from 1 species